UGCGACCUUGAGGGUGUGGAUGAGGUUGUCGCGGGUUGUCUCGUAGCGAUCGUUCUCGCGCAGGAUGUCCCCGACGAAGGUGUAGACCACCCAGCGGCCGCGGCGCGGAUCGCGGCGGAUCAGCCAGUCCAGCAUCGUGCCGGUGUCGUCGUCGAUGUGCAGGAUUCGUGGCCCGUAGCGCAUCCGGUCCUCGGCUGUUUCGAUGCUUGUGGUUCUGCCAGCUGCUCACGUACCCCGCCGUGCAUCGCCUCGAGGAUCGUUCGCGCGAGCUC
rnacentral:rRNA from 1 species